rfam:Triticum aestivum genome assembly, contig: Triticum_aestivum_CS42_TGACv1_scaffold_410482_5BL
CAAAUACUCCCUCCGUCCGGAAAUACUUGUCAUCAAAAUGGAUAAAAGGAAAUGUAUCUAGACGUAUUUUAGUUUUAGAUACAUCUCUUUUUAUCCAUUUUGAUGACAAGUAUUUUCGGACGGAGGGAGUAGCAA